rnacentral:sRNA from 16 species
GUAGCCCUUUGAUUUUUCAGAACACUGCCAAAUCGACCAUUUGGGGUCACCACUCAACGCUGGCCACAAACGGCAUGGUGACCACUUAAGGCUGU